AGAUAGUUGGUGAGGUAACGGCUCACCAAGUCGACGAUCAGUAGCCGGACCGAGAGGUUGAACGGCCACAUUGGGACUGAGACACGGCCCAGACUCCUACGGGAGGCAGCAGUGGGGAAUAUUGCACAAUGGGGGAAACCCUGAUGCAGCGAUGCCGCGUGGAGGAAGAAGGUUUUCGGAUUGUAAACUCCUGUCUUAAAGGACGAUAAUGACGGUACUUUAGGAGGAAGCUCCGGCUAACUACGUGCCAGCAGCCGCGGUAAUACGUAGGGAGCGAGCGUUGUCCGGAAUUACUGGGUGUAAAGGGAGCGUAGGCGGGACGGCAAGUCAGAUGUGAAAUACAUGGGCUCAACCCAUGGGCUGCAUUUGAAACUGCUGUUCUUGAGUGAAGUAGAGGUAAGCGGAAUUCCUGGUGUAGCGGUGAAAUGCGUAGAUAUCAGGAGGAACACCGGUGGCGAAGGCGGCUUACUGGGCUUUUACUGACGCUGAGGCUCGAAAGCGUGGGGAGCAAACAGGAUUAGAUACCCUUGAGUCCACGCUGUAAACGAUGAUUACUAGGUGUGGGGGGACUGACCCCUUCCGUGCCGCAGUUGACACAAUAAGUAAUCCACCUGGGGAGUACGGCCGCAAGGUUGAAACUCAAAGGAAUUGACGGGGGCCCGCACAAGCAGUGGAGUAUGUGGUUUAAUUCGAAGCAACGCGAAGAACCUUACCAGGUCUUGACAUCGAGUGCAUAACUAAGAGAUUAGUGAAAUCCCUUCGGGGACACUUAGACAGGUGGUGCAUGGUUGUCGUCAGCUCGUGUCGUGAGAUGUUGGGUUAAGUCCCGCAACGAGCGCAACCCUUACCUUUAGUUGCUACGCAAGAGCACUCUAAAGGGACUGCCGUUGACAAAACGGAGGAAGGUGGGGAUGACGUCAAAUCAUCAUGCCCCUUAUGACCUGGGCUACACACGUACUACAAUGGCAAUCAACAAAGAGAAGCAAGACAGUGAUGUGGAGCAAAUCUCAAAAAAUUGUCCCAGUUCAGAUUGUAGGCUGCAACUCGCCUACAUGAAGUCGGAAUUGCUAGUAAUCGCGGAUCAGAAUGCCGCGGUGAAUACGUUCCCGGGCCUUGUACACACCGCCCGUCACACCAUGGGAGUCGGUAACACCCGAAGUCGGUAGUCUAACAGCAAUGAGGACGCCGCCGAAGGUGGGAUUGGUGACUGGGGU
rnacentral:rRNA from 1 species